GAUGAACGCUGGCGGCGUGCCUAAUACAUGCAAGUCGAGCGAACAGACGAGGAGCUUGCUCCUCUGACGUUAGCGGCGGACGGGUGAGUAACACGUGGAUAACCUACCUAUAAGACUGGGAUAACUUCGGGAAACCGGAGCUAAUACCGGAUAAUAUAUUGAACCGCAUGGUUCAAUAGUGAAAGACGGUUUUGCUGUCACUUAUAGAUGGAUCGGCGCCGCAUUAGCUAGUUGGUAAGGUAACGGCUUACCAAGGCAACGAUGCGUAGCCGACCUGAGAGGGUGAUCGGCCACACUGGAACUGAGACACGGUCCAGACUCCUACGGGAGGCAGCAGUAGGGAAUCUUCCGCAAUGGGCGAAAGCCUGACGGAGUAACGCCGCGUGAGUGAUGAAGGUCUUCGGAUCGUAAAACUCUGUUAUUAGGGAAGAACAAAUGUGUAAGUAACUAUGCACGUCUUGACGGUACCUAAUCAGAAAGCCACGGCUAACUACGUG
rnacentral:rRNA from 1 species